GGCGGGUAGAUAGUAUUCCAGUUAACUUAUAUAUUUAAGUUUCUAUAAGUUUUAAUAAAUAUUAUAAAAAUUUAAAACCCUCAACAUAAAAUCCUUAAUAUAAAAAUUUAAACCUUGAUAUUUUUUAUACAUAGAUUUUCUAUACAAUGUAGAUCACAUUUAUUUAAUUAUAUUAUAAUCUUAUAAUAUGAAUUAUUAAAA
rnacentral:lncRNA from 1 species